rnacentral:lncRNA from 1 species
CCAUGUACAUGUAUCCAGAUUCUGCAACGUUCAUUCUAGGAGACCAUUCACUUCCUGUAUUAGCAAAACAAAAAGUGAAUUUUGAAACAUUCUGAAGAGGCUAUAUGUAACAGUCCAACCCACCAGUCAUAUUAUCUGCUUAGGAUUAAGACCCGCACGUCUUUAAAAUGUGUGAGUAGGGUCUAAGGUUAGUCUACUUAUAUACCCAACAUCUCUCGUGUUUUGUCGAUGUGGGAUUCAUUUGAAACAAAUGUCGCCAAUUCCCGCAAUCUUUGAGUAACUUGUAUUACCCAUUCUCACGGUGCCGAAAUUACCUGCUACAUAUCUACAAAAAAGAUCUCUUACCGGUGUGAUAUGGUAAGAUGCCACUGUGUCAACCACCCAUUCUGACUUUACACCUGACAGGUGCAUGCAUUCCUCUUCAUCAUUUAUAAAGAGGACAACAUUGUCAUUAUUUUGNNNNNNNNNNNNNNNNNNNNNNNNNNNNNNNNCAUGGUAAGAUGCCGCUGUGUCAACCACCCAUUCCGACUCUGGACCUGACAGGUGCAUGCAUUCCUCUUCAUCAUUUAUAAAGAGGACAACACUGUCAUUGUUUUGACCAUGGCAGCUGUGUUGUCGUCAUUCUUCUGGCCACUAGUUUCACCUUUGCCCUUCCUUGGAUUUGGGCAAUCUCUUUGAAGUGACCUGGUUGAUCACAAUUGUAACAAUUUCUGGCUUUUGACUUGGAACGAUUCUUUGACUUUCCACAAGCUCCGGAUCUACCAUAGUUGCUCGAACUCCUUUGAUAACUCCUGCCUCUACCUUCUGUGAUAGGAGCCUGUCCUUGAUUUUCAGGCUUCUUUCUCAACUUCUCAUUAAGUAAAAGAGCCGAUGUGACAUCUUUCAACUCAAUAGUAGUCUUACCAUGCAGGAUGGUUGUUGCCAAGUAUCGUAUGAAGAUGGCAACGAGUUCAAUAGCAAGAUGGCUUUAUUUUCCUCCUCGAUUUUUACUCCGAGGUUGGCAAGCUGUGUGAUUAGUCCGUUAAACACAUUUAAAUACGACAAAAAAUUCAUACCUUCACCCAUGUGUAGGGCGUAUAACUGCUUCUUCAGGUAGAAUUUAUUUGUCAGCGUUUUGGACAUGUAUAGGCUUUCCAACCUGGUCCAAAUUCCACGUGCAGUGUCUUCAUCAAUGAUAUUAUUUACCACAUCAUCCGAUAAGUCAACCUGAUUGCACUAGCAGCUCUUUCAUCCAAGUCAGCCCAAUACUCAGCUUUCAUGGUAUCAAGCUUUUUGGCAUCAGCAACUAGUACCUUGUGUAAUCCUUGUUGGAUGAGCAAAUCCCUCAUCCUUCUUUGUCAUGUUGAGAAACCGUUAUCUCCAUUGAAUUUUUCUACCUCGUACUUUACUCCGGAAAUUUUUAUUUUCACCGAGCAUAGUACUACCGAUAGUGAAUAGUAUUUCAGUGAACGAGCAGAACCUGUGUUCUGAUACCAGUUGUUAGGAAUAAACCCCCUACCAAAAUAAUAUCCACGGUAAUAAAAGCGGUAUAAUAAUGUAGCACCGAGAUACGGUAAUUAACAAGAAUAAAGGAGUAACAAUGACACCAAGAUUUUUACGUAGAAAACCCUUUUGAAUAAGGAAAAAAACUACGGCUCUGAGAGAAGUAACUGAUAUCACUAUAGUAAGGAAUUUUACACUUUGUAGUUCCGAGUAAAAUACUCCAAAGACCACUGCAACACUCACAAGAAAUAACCAUCUUUUGAUAUUUCCACCUUACUACAAUAUCGCUCACUCUCGAUUUUCUCACAGACUACUUUCUUAUACCUUGUCUGUGAAACCUCACUCUUUCUUUAUCUCUUUGUUGGUAUGUAAAAAUGAGAGUUGAAGCUCUCAUUUUAUAGCUAAAGCUUCACUCUCCAAAGCCUACAAUAUUUGACAAUUUACACACACUUUUCACAAAUUCAACAAAGUUGGCAACCAACCUAAAGAAAUUCAACAAUGUUGGCUACCAAACCAAACUAAUUCAAUAAAGUUGACUAUCUAUCCAAACCAAAUCAACAAGGUUGGCUCCCAAACCAAAAGAACUUUUAUUAGACACAUGCCUAAUACUUAUUUAAUGAGAUGAACAUCAUCCAUAAAUCUUAAACUCUGGCACCAUUGCUGCUGCCUCCUCCUGAUGAAUAAAUAGAUAAGCUUUUAAGUUUCAAGUAAAACAAAUUUGUUAAUAAAACAAUUUCACUUACGGAUGAAUCUUGCAAAUAUUAAACAACUUAUUUUUAAGGUUCAACUAUACCCUUAAUAUAAUGUUUGAAAUCUCUCGAAUUGAGUUUGACAUUAUAUCAAAUCAAAUUAUUUAGUUGAAAAUAACUUUUGCCGUUUUACUUGAUUUCUCACCUAUGAGGUUAGGAUUUAAAAGCGGAUUCGAAGAAAAGAAAAAAUGGUAAGUUCUAGAUAAGUGUUUACCUUCAAAUCGGAUAACAAUUAAAUUUGUACGAGAUCUUAAAAAUACAUGGUUUGAUUCAACACAAACGAUAAAAUAUAUAUAAGAUAAACGAAUUAAAGAUAAACUAAACGGUCGAACCAAUUGUGACAUCAUGGUCAAGCCUGAACUGAGAUCAAGCAAUGACCUUCUCCUAGAUCGGAUCCUCAACGAAGAACAUGUUAAGUGAAAAAGGAGUUUAAUAAUAGCUAAAAGAUAAAAAAUAAAUUUAUAUUACUUUGAUUUGUGUGUUAGGAAAAUCAAAAAGGGAAUUUCAUAUACUAGAACAAUUGGUAUUCAAUAUUCUCAGUCCAUGGAAUUCAUUUCUUGAUCUUUCUCAUAUUUACAAGGUUGAAGUCUUUUAUUGGUGUCACCGCCAAUAGUAAGUUAGUAAGAGUAACCCAAAGAAAAUUUGUCGAUAUGUAAUGUUCCCUUUAUGAUCCCAAUAAAAAUAAAAUGUUACGCGGUUUUUUUUAUUUGCCUCUGAUCACACCAAACUAUACCUCCUAAGAGGUCUAGCGGUCUUGUAAAUAUAAUCCAAUAUACAAGUUCGGAGUCGAAUCUAAUAGGAAAUUAACCUACUAAGUGGAAUCACUAGUUUCGCACGAAUUCAAGUAUUCAACUUUCAGAAAUAUUAAAUAACAAUUUGGACAAUUUCUCAAUCUAACAUGGUGUUAGAGCCAUGGAAUAGAUGAACCUCGAUCUGCUCAUUCGAUCGAUGGUACGCUCAUCGAGUUUCAUGGAGGAUUUCACAUCGUCGAGCUUUUUCUGUUUCCGCGCAUUAACCGUCAAGUUUUUGGAUUGUGGAGCUUCUUCAAGGGUGUUUAUCAUCUAUUGAGAAUUGUACGGUGUUUCUCCCGGUAAUCUACUGUUAUCGCCAGUGUUUACUCGAAUUUGCUGCUUUUGGUACCUACUUUCUUUGUUUAUUCAAGGUCUUACCUUCUUUACGUUGCAAAGAGGGACGGUAAUCUUCCUUUCGCCACUUCUGCGAGUUUCUAGUGUUGUUUGAUUAUAUCAGCAUUCCUAUUUUUAGAUUUUGCCUAUCUAGGGUUAUUCAUGGGUAGUCCAGAAGCUAGUUCCUCUCAUAUGUUAGAUAGUUUUAAUGAUUUUACUAUUUCUCCAUCUCAUUCAUUCUAUAUUUGUCCAUCUGAAAGUCCUGAUCUCUUAGAUGGUACUGAUAUUGCUGAAUUGACAGCCUUGAAACAGUUUUUGGAUGACCAAUUCAAGAUCAAAUACUUGGGUCUGGUCUAUUACUUUCUGGGUCUUGAGGGAGUGUUAACCAAAGCCCAACUGCAAUAUAGUCCAGGCCCACUUCAUGACCUAACAUAAAGUUUCAUCAGUUUACAGUUUAAUUCAUGUAUUAUUUUAUUAGUUGAUUUGUAUAUAAAUGAGAGGAACUCUCUAGAAUAAGUGAGAUUUUAUUUUGACAAUAUAAUGAGUUCUGCGAAUAAGAAAAUGGUUUGAUUUCUUCUCUCCUAAAUUCUAUGGCUUUACUUACAAUUUCUUCUUGCAUAGCUAGAUUUCUCAACCUAACAAGUUCAUAUCCGUGCACUAAAGGUGUACUAUACUUAUACUCCGUUAAAUUGUACAACACACGCACUUAACUCUUAAUAUCAAGCAUGAUAUGAUAACUUGAAAGAUAAAAUGAUAACCUACCAUAAUCGAUUAAAUUGUACUUUCGUGGAAAAUCCGUUGCACCCCAGUAUACAAAACUUAAGCUACUUGAUUAUUUGGGUAUUAUCUAAACAACAACAACAAGUACCCACUAUAGUCCCACAAGGUGGGCUCUGAGAAGGGUAAUAUGUAGACAGGCCUUGCCCUUUCGAGCUCCUACUCGAAAGGGCAGAGAGACUGUUUCCAAUCGACCCUCGGCUCCGGGAAGGAAAGGGAAAACAAAAACAGAAACAAAAGAGCAUUAGUAACUAUAGCGGAAAUCGCAUAAAUAUUUAUCUAAACAUAAGAACCAUAAAAUUUAGAUAUUAUUUAAACCAUCCGAAUUCCAAAGGCAUCACCACAUAUGUAUAUAUUGAUAUGGCUACUAAUGUAGCAUUACAAGACAGCUCAUAUUCCAUGGCAUUUUACACUAGUUUCCAGUAGAUAGCAUGUGAUCGAGUACAUAUACAUGGUUCAUGUUUUACAAUAAAUUCUGUUGCUUAUCCUGUAAUUCUCUUAAUCAUAUUUUACACGUAGAUAUGCGGCUUGAUUGGUUGCCCUGUUUCUCAAGGUUUUGGGAUAGUAAUCUGUAAAAGUCCGUCCCUGCAUUGUAAAACACUCGUGAAUUUCAGAAUUUUAAUACAAAUAUUUAUGUAAUGAAAUAUUCCAAAGAUCUUUCUUCCUGACUCAAAAUAACAGGUAAAUGAUACUAACAAGUUUUGACAACUUACACAAAUUCAGCUGAGACGCUAUCCUUGUUGGCAUUAGUUGGAAGAGGCCAGAAAACCCGAUAAGGUCCCUGAACAAUCUCCCUUUUGUGAUAAGACGAUACGGAGUCAUUCGAGUAUGUUACCACUUUCGACCAUUGUGUUGAACGAUUUCCAGAAACUAUUAAGCUGUCGAGGAAAUAACACUCAUCUAUUAGGCAAACACGAAUUCUGAAUUCAACGCUGCCUCAUUGCAGAAGAUGGAUGCUCUUUUAAGAUGAACUUUCUGUAACAUGAUCAUCCCUUAUAAUUAAGGGAUGACAUGGAGGAAAAGACUAAGUAAUGGAUAAUUGCAAGUUACUUACCUUUUAUCACUGAUUUCUACCUUUAUAUCAUUUAUAUUGACACCAGGAAGUUCUAUCGAUACCAUGUACAUGUAUCCAGAUUCUGCAACGUUCAUUCUAGGAGACCAUUCACUUCCUGUAUUAGCAAAACAAAAAGUGAAUUUUGAAACAUUCUGAAGAGGCUAUAUGUAACAGUCCAACCCACCAGUCAUAUUAUCUGCUUAGGAUUAAGACCCGCACGUCUUUAAAAUGUGUGAGUAGGGUCUAAGGUUAGUCUACUUAUAUACCCAACAUCUCUCGUGUUUUGUCGAUGUGGGAUUCAUCUAGGAUGUCACAUUGUACCCUCAGUUUCCAGAACAAAAAAGCACUACUGCAAUACAUUAUUAAUUCCAGCCAAUCAAAGCAAAGCAUCAUCUUUGUUUACC